rnacentral:misc_RNA from 1 species
GAUGAAGAACGUAGCGAAAUGCGAUAACUAAUGUGAAUUGCAGAAUUCAGUGAAUCAUCGAGUCUUUGAACGCACAUUGCGCCCCCUGGUAUUCCGGGGGCAUGCCUGUCCGAGCGUCAUUGCUGCCCUCAAGCACGGCUUGUGUGUUGGGCUCCGUCCCCCCGGGGACGGGCCCGAAAGGCAGCGGCGGCACCGAGUCCGGUCCUCGAGCGUAUGGGGCUUUGUCACCCGCUCUGUAGGCCCGGCCGGCGCCAGCCGACAACCCAUCAUCCUUUUCAGGUUGACCUCGGAUCAGGUAGGGAUACCCGCUGAACUUAAGCAUAUCAAUAAGCGGAGGA